CAAAGGCUUGGUCCUGACUUUACUGUCAACUCUGGCUAGAUUUACACAUGCAAGUCUCCGCACCCCCGUGAGAAUGCCCUACAGUUUCCCUUCCUGAAACAAGGAGCAGGUAUCAGGCACACUACAGUAGCCCACUACACCUUGCUUAGCCACACCCCCAAGGGAUCUCAGCAGUGAUAAAUAUUAAGCAAUAAGUGAAAACUUGACUUAGUUAUAAGCCUACAGGGCCGGUUAAACUCGUGCCAGCCACCGCGGUUAUACGAGAGGCCCAAGCUGACAGACCCUCGGCGUAAAGUGUGGUUAAAUAGUGUACCUACUAAGGUCGAAUGCAGUCAAAACUGUUAUACGUAAUCGAAUGCUAGAAGCCCCGUCACGAAAGUAACCUUAUAAUAUUGAACCCACGAAAGCUAGGACACAAACUGGGAUUAGAUACCCCACUAUGCCUAGCACUAAACCUAGAUGAACAUAUUACGUAAUCAUCCGCCUGGGAACUACGAGCACUAGCUCAAAACCCAAAGGACUUGGCGGUGCUUAACAUCCCCCUAGAGGAGCCUGUUCUAGAACCGAUAACCCUCGUUAAACCUCACUUUUUCUUGCCCGCCACCGCCUAUAUACCGCCGUCGUCAGCUUACCCUAUGAAGGACAAACAGUAAGCAGAAUCAGUAAUACUCAAAACGUCAGGUCGAGGUGUAGCAAAUGAAAGAGGAAGAAAUGGGCUACAUUUCCUACGCCGCAGGAAAUACGAAAAGUUUACUGAAAGCUAAACUAGAAGGAGGAUUUAGUAGUAAGGGAGAAAUAGAGUGUCUCCCUGAAAUUGGCCCUUAAGCGCGCACACACCGCCCGUCACUCUCCCCGAGCUAAAAAAUAUCAAUUCAUAAUACCUAUUAACAGCAAAGGGGAGGCAAGUCGUAACAUGGUAAGUGUACCGGAAGGUGUACUUGGGUAAAU